GCCUACGGGAGGCGGCAGUGGGGAAUUUUGGACAAUGGAAACCCUGAUCCAGCCAUCCCGCGUGUGCGAUGAAGGCCUUCAGGUUGUAAAGUACUUUUGGCAGAAGAAACGGCGCAGGAUAAUACCCGUGCAACUGACGGUACCUGCAGAAUAAGCACCAGCACAACUACGUGCCAGCAGCCGCGGUAAUACGUAGGGUGCAAGCGUUAAUCGGAAUUACUGGGCGUAAAGCGUGCGCAGGGCGGUUCGGAAGAAAGAUGUGAAAUCCCAGAGCUUAACUUUGGAACUGCAUUUUAACCUUUACCGAGCUAGAGAGUGUGUCAGAGGAGGUGGAAUUCCGCGUGUAGCAGUGAAAUGCGUAGAUAUGCGGAGGAACACCGAUGGCGAAGCAACCCUCCUGGGAUAACACUGACGCUCAUGCACGAAAGCAUUAAGGGGAGCAAACAGGAUUGGAAUGCCCCGGUAGU
rnacentral:misc_RNA from 1 species